rfam:Schistosoma mattheei strain Denwood, Zambia genome assembly, scaffold: SMTD_scaffold0006152
AUCCAGCUGACGAGUACAAGAUAGGACGAAACGCGCGUCCUGGAU